UUCAAUCUGGUCAUCAAGCGACACUUACAAAAAUCUCAAAGCAGGGAAAACAAAAGGAAACCAAAGAAGAAGAUAGCGAAAAAAAAGAUGCAGAAACUGAUAUUGAGACAAUCGUUAUAUCGUUCCAUAUGUCGUAGAUCUUCAGCUUUCUCGAUUUCCGCCGCCGCAACUACCGCCGUCAACCACCACUCCCAUCGACACCUUCAUUUCUCAUCCCCGAAUUUUCCAGCUUCUCCUAAAAGCCCUUUUCACGGAAAAAUUUGGGGUGCAGUAUGGCCCGUGAUUAGUGGGAGAGGGGAAUCUAGAGAAGGGGAGCACCUAAAUAUGCAAGCAAUCGGAAGCACACGUUCUUUCUGUGAGGAUUCAGCCCACAUGCCAGACAUAAAAGAUCCAGAGGUCAAACGUGCUUUUAAGGACUUAAUGGCUUCAAGCUGGGAUGAGCUCCCAAAUGCAGUUGUCGGUGAUGCAGAGCAUGCAUUGACUAAAAAUACUGAUGACAAGGAAGGCCAAGAAGCCUUGAUUAAUGUUUUCCGUGCAGCAGAAGCAGUGGAGGACUUUACUGGGAUUCUCACGUCUCUGAAAAUGGAGCUUGAUGAUGCAAUUGGCUUAAGUGGUGAGAAUGUGAGGCCUAUGUCAAAAGAGCUCUCUGAUGCAUUUCACAUGGUAUACCAACGUUACAUCACCUACUUGAGUGCUUUUGGGUCAGAGGAGGGAUACUUGAAGAAGAAAGUUGAGAUGGAACUGGGAACAAAGAUGAUACACUUGAAGAUGAGAUGCAGUGGCCUUGAUUCUCAAUGGGGAAAGAUGCAGUGUUAUCAAAGGCGCACUUAAAGCGCUCUUAAGCCCUAGAGCGAGGCGUAAAACAUGUUGAGUACUUCACAUCGCUUAGCGGGCGCUUCGGUGUUGUCAUCAAGGCUCUAAGGCAUGAUUUUCCUAGGCAACAACGCUAAACAAUUGAUAUACACUUUAUCGUUACAGUUCUUGGGACUUCGGGACUUGCUGGUUGAUAAGCCACGUAUCUUCCUUACUUAUUCAAGGAGGAAGAAGCAAAGAAAUGUAGGAGAAGAUAAUGAUUUGCUUCUCAAAUUUCUAGAGCUUUCAGACAUGGAAAAUUAAGCAGUUACUUACCGUUAUUAGAAGAUAACAAGUUAUCUGUUAGCAGUUUAUUAUGGUUACUAGAAGUUAUCUGUCUUUAUCCUAACUUGGUUAUGGAGUAGUUAUUGCCAGCCUCUAUAUAAAUAAUAAAUCUAGUAAUAUGUAAGUGGGUUGUAAUUAUCCUUUAUAUGCAGUCAGACUAUCUGUGAGAUACGAGAUGCUUGUGUCUCUCUAUUAUGUGCCUUUAAGACAACAACAUCAGCGACCAAAGCAUCAAUGGCCUCCAGUUUCGCUGCUAUAGUCGUCAAUUGUUGGGCGAUUGGAUCAAGAGUCGGAAUGAUGGGUUCGCUUUGGGAAGUGUUGGUCCGUGUGUUCACCAUGGCGGAUCUUACUGCUCUGAUACCAAUGAUAUGAAUAGAGAUUUAAUAAUGGAAAAAGAGAUAGAAAAUACACUGAUAUUAUUGAUAAUAGAGAGACACAAGCAUCUCGUAGCUCACAGAUAGUCUGACUGCAUAUAAAGGAUAAUUACAACCCACUUACAUAUUACUAGAUCUAUUAUUUAUAUAGAGGCUGACAAUAACUACUCCAUAACCAAGUUAGGAUAAAGACAGAUAACUUCUAGUAACCAUAAUAAACUGCUAACAGAUAACUGCUUAAUUUUCCAUGUCUGAAAGCUCCAGAAAUUUGAGAAGCAAAUCAUUAUCUUCUCCUACAUUUCUUUGCUUCUUCCUCCUUGAAUAAAUAUGGAAGAUACGUGGCUUAUCACUGGUUCCUAUGUUGAGCAUAGACCUUCACAGAUGGCUGAAAGUUGGGAGUGUUUCAUCUUUAAGUUACUUGUGUAACAUUUUCCUGGAAAGAGAAAAGGAAAUAUUUUGAUAAUACAGGCUGCAUCAAUUUGAUCCAUUAAACUGCACUAUUCUUUCGUAAGUUAUGAUGAUGUGAUAGCAGGAAUACACAGAUGAUACUAUUCUUCAAGGAGAUAGUUUCCGGAGCAUUCAGUAUUCAGAAGAUAGGGUUUUAUGUCAAUCGAUUCCUGUUGACUGGUGAAUCAGGUCCACUGGUUUAAUUUUUCUUGAUUGGUUAUUGAACAUGGCACUGUGUGGCACCCAGUUCACUUUUAUCUCUUUUUUGUUCAAUUGAACAAACUGAAUCUAUGAACAUGUUUGAUUGACACUA